rnacentral:rRNA from 1 species
UACGUAGGGUGCAAGCGUUAAUCGGAAUUACUGGGCGUAAAGCGUGCGCAGGCGGUGAUGUAAGACAGAUGUGAAAUCCCCGGGCUCAACCUGGGACCUGCAUUUGUGACUGCAUCGCUAGAGUACGGCAGAGGGGGGUGGAAUUCCGCGUGUAGCAGUGAAAUGCGUAGAGAUGCGGAGGAACACCGAUGGCGAAGGCAGCCCCCUGGGCCAACACUGACGCUCAGGCACGAAAGCGUGGGGAGCAAACAGG